rnacentral:pre_miRNA from 1 species
GACAUACUUCCUUCGUUCGGAAUUACUUGUCGUAGAAAUGGAUGUAUCUAGACAUUUUUUAGUUCUAGAUACAUUCAUUUCCGCGACAAGUAAUUCAGAACGGAGGGAGUACAUA